rnacentral:rRNA from 1 species
GACGAACGCUGGCGGCGUGCUUAACACAUGCAAGUCGAACGAAGUGGCGAACGGGUGAGUAACGCGUAAUCAACCUGCCCGUCAGAGGGGGACAAAAGGUGGAAACGACUGCUAAUACCGCAUACUGAAGGAGGGGAUUGCGUCGGAUUAGCUAGUUGGAGGGGUAACGGCCAAUCAAGGCGAUGAUCAGUAGACGGUCUGGUAGGAUGACCGGCAAUAUUGGGACUGAGACACGGCUCAGACUCCUACGGGAGGCAGCAGUGGGGAAUCUUCCGCAAUGGACGAAAGUCUGACGGAGCAACGCCGCGUGAGUGAUGAAGGCUUUCGGGUUGUAAAGCUCUGUUAAUCGGGACGCGGUACCGGAAUAGAAAGCCACGGCUAACUACGUGCCAGCAGCCGCGGUAAUUC